CUUUUUGUAGCAUUAUGGAAGCUUUUGGCCUUUUUAACAUUUGAAGACGUCAUUGUGCUUCCACUCAGCUGCAUGUCACAGUACACAUACACACACACACACACACACACACACACACACACACACAGAGCGGUUUUCACAUCUUCACGUCUUUUCUGUAUCUAUUCACUGGGUGGGUUACAGAUCAUGUGCAGUAUUUUUGCAUUUACUUACAAGAAGCCCUUGCUUAUGCUUCUUUCUUAGCAUUUUCUUGCAUUAGGUGUUAUCAACAGUAACUCGUCCAACAGCUUCACACAUACACUAGCUCACCACAAAACACCACUUCCUCAGUGACAGGAAUCUGUUGGUGUGCAUGCACUUAUUGUCAUAGACAUAUAUAGUAAGGGUAUAGCUUGCAGUUCUUUGAUAGGCUGUUAAUCUCUUUGGCUUGGAUUAAAAUGAUUGGUUGCAGUCAUCAGUGUUUACAAGACAAGGAAGUGUCAAAAGGGAGAAAUAUUUUUGACUUUAGGCUGAGACUUCAGUUGGUACUGAUCCCCCCCAGACUGACACAGCAGUACAGAGGCGAGCUGGUCCGAGCAGACAAAAUGAAGAUCAUUCUCCUGACAUCCAUCAUCUUCACUGUAGCUCCUGUUUANNNNNNNNNNNNNNNNNNNNNNNNNNNNNNNNNNNNNNNNNNNNNNNNNNNNNNNNNNNNUUCAGUUCAAGAAUCUGGUUUUCACUUUCCUUCAGUCUGGUUUCCAUAACUCUCUGUUUUCUUUCAUGGCACCAAACUCUUUCAGGAAAUCACAUGAGUCUGAAAAGCAUGACUGUGUUUCACUAGUUCUUUCUGUUUCUGGAACAUUAACAUCAUCCUCGGCCAAAAUUAGGCUGCAGUAUAGCAGCAUAGACAAUACAAUGGUAAAAUUCUUCUUCCAAGUUGAUUCAGUGUCGUUCAGUCACCUAAACUCUGACUGAUAUGAUCCCUAGCAAGCAGCUGCAUUUAUCAAGCAUUUUCCAAAAAUGCCCAGCUUUCAUUUACAUUAUACAUUGGACACUUUAUCAAUAAUGGAUUCUUCAAUUUUAAUGGCUACUGUGUUAGGUAAUCUUGUUUUCAAAUUCUAGGACUAUUUAAACAAUAUCAAUAUAAAAUCUGCUUUUCAAUCAUACACAAUAAAGCAGCACACUUCAUGACAUAAACCAAUGAUUAAUUCUAUAUGGGUUUUGUUUCCACUUUUUCAUACACAUUUAAAAUCUUUAAAAACUUUUUUUAAAUCUCUUUUGUCGAAAAUAUUUGUUAUAUCUAUCCUCUGAGGGUGCAGACAUGCAUUUUUGUCGUCUUAUAAAUGUGAGGAAAAAUCCACCCCCAACUUUCUUGAAUUUUUGAUUCUCUCUGAGGACCGCCCUCUGCAUUUGGAAGAGAUAGACAGUUUGAAACAACAGUAAGUGACUUUUGUUGAAAAAAAUAGAAAACUCUCUAUAUCUUUUCUCUUAAACACAAUAUUCAGAGAACUCAUACACAAACACUGCCUAAACACUCACACUCACCAGCACCAUGAGUCAGAGCCAUCAUGGCUACAACAAGUACAGACACAGCUAGCAUCUUCAUGGUGAAGUUGAUGCAGAUGUCUAAGAUGAUGACCUUCAAUUAAAAGAAACAGACGUGUUAAUAAGACUUGUAUUGGUAGAAACUAUGACUAGAGACUGUCAACCCAUUAGAUAAAGGACAGACAAUAAUAAACAAUACAGACCUGUUGCAGAAUUAUCUUCUCUUCUUCCUUCUCAAUGUCAGUCUGGGGUACUGAACAGGAGAAAGUCUGGCUCUUAUAUACAGUUCCUUGUGCCAUCCUGCCAUCCCAGAAUCAGGAACUAAGGAUCCGCAUCCUGACAAUGAACACACAAAAUGCAAAC
rnacentral:lncRNA from 15 species